UGGAGGGGAGAGGCUCCCUUAAGAUUCUUUUUGGUUCUUGGAGUCUGCUGACGAUCUGGAGGUUCAUGACACAGAACGCUGCUUUGUGAAAGAGCCCACACAUGCCCAUGGGAAGUGAAGUGUGACAAAUGGAUCCGAGUUCUGGACGGGCCGGGACCCUGUGCUCCCGAGCUCUAGCACACCUGGCGCGGGCCUUCCCAAAGGGACCGCCCACUCGUAUUCAGACCCUCUGUGCCCAGCUGCGGAGACCCCUCUCUUCACUCCCGCGGCUUGGUGAUGCUACGAUGAGUCCGGACCGAACCCAACCAAACCGGGUCCUCACGGCGCCCUGCUUCCCCUCAUUCCCCCUUCCGCUCCCUUCUGUUUGUUUUCAGAGUGAUUCAUUGCCCCUCUUUUCCCUGGUGCUCUCCUACUAUCUCCCUCCUUAUCUGAGAUGCCAACUGCCUGCUAGCCCUGCUUGUUCUGUCCUUUCCAGUACAAAGAACAUUCUCCUUGGCAGAGAAAGCAGAAGCAGAAGAAGGGCGUCAUCAUCGAGCCUGGUCUGGGGUGCCAGGGCUCCCUCCUCCACAUGCCCCACCCUCACAUGCCCCCCUCCUCACAAAAAGCCUCUCCUUCCUUCCUCAUUUUUUUCUCCUUUUAUGACUUGGCUUUUCCUUACCGGCCUCAACCUCUUCAAGGGCCUUGGCCCACCUGACGUGAUCCUUCCGGAACUGGGCCACGGUUUUGCCCUCCAAGCUUCGCCGUUGCCUGCCCCCCUUCCGGGUUCUAUGGGGCUCUUUAAAGUUCCUUUCCUCUUCCUUGGAUUUGCUUUCAUUCCGCAGAGCUUUGCACUCCUCCCGGGCCGACUUCCCCCGUUGAACUGGAGGCCGAGAGAUCUGGCCUCCUCAUCUUCCGAACUCUUUGAAAUCUGCCCUUUGAACUCUUCCAGUGUGAUCUAUAUGCACCCCGCCCCCUUCUCCGGUACAAGUUCAAAGACAUAAGGGGUCCUUCUCCCAAGCUGCUUCAUCAUUCCCACCCCAGAGUCUAGAAGAGAAUUGCCUCUGUUGGUUUCUACACCUUUUCAAGGAUUGAUUUAUCAUUGACAAGUCAAAACAAUUGCUAGAGAGAAAAAAAAAAAAAGAGAAGCUGGGAAAAUGAGGGAAGAAGGGAGAGGAGAGAGCCAGAUUAGCUGGAAGAGCCCAAUGGGUUUCACUUGGAGUCAAAGCCUCCCCUCUGGCAUGGACUGCCCGCUUCUCUCCAUGGGCCUCAUCUUCCCCCAUCCUAGAAGGGGGGGCUUGGAGCAGAACGGUUCUGAGCUUGGAUUUCACAUCACAUCUCCUUCCCCAGCUCCUUCUCCGUUUCCUUGGCUCCUCGUGGAUUUCCUCUCGGGUCUGGUGGCCUGGAUAUGGGGGCGCUUCUCUCUCGGCUGCCACGACCUUUCAUUCCAGUCCCUGCGGUCCUUGCUUCCUUCACAGAGCGGGACUCUCCCCUUGCCUCUUCUUUCCCCUUUGUCAUUAUUCACACUAAUUCCGGAGCCAUUCUUGAGUCACCCCAAGUCCCCGGGCCCAUUCUAACCAGCUGGGAGUGCUAGAUAUCUGAGGUCAAAUCGCCUUUCACGUGCGAGGAUCUCAAUAUCGCUUUGCCUCCGCCCCACCCUUUGUGAACUUGUGUGUAGACCUCGGAGGCUCCGGGGCUUGUUGCUGCCUCUUUUCUGUGGCUUUCUGGGUGUCUCUCUCCUGCUAUUUUCCUUCCUGCAAUGUAGUGACUGUCUGUCUGGGAUGGUGGAGGUACAGAAACCGAGUUCUCCAGAUUUAGACUAGCAACUGUUCGGGAUCUUCUAGAGUGACCUAGGCAGGCACAGAAACAUAGGUGGCAGAGGUGGGCCUGGGAGCCUGCCCUCCUCGUAUUCCCCCCAGCUAGCUUGGGGCCCGGUACACGCGUGCAGGGACUCAUGGGCUGAUUGCUGACCUGCAGGGUGUCGUGCUGCCCACGGUUAUCGGAGCGCCCGGGCCUCCGAGAAGCCGGCUGGCUUUGCGGGUGCGGGUGCGGGUUUGCACAAAGGUGGGAUUCCCUUUGCUCAUUGGAGCCAGAGACGCUGUAAAUUUGGAGAGGGCCGCUGGGACCAGGUGGCUUUGGAGGUCGAUCCCCCGCCUUCAGCCGCCCGGGCCAUGACAUCAUCUCCUUUUAUUCCACCCACCACAUGGCAAGGAGGUCAGGUUCCCUUAUUUGAGCAGCUUGUCGCUGCUGUUGGCCUGUGCCCCAAACAAGGCCCGGGCAGGGCUUCUAAUUCAAGGCUGAAAAGGCAGGCCGUUCUUGUGCCUGGCCCAGAGGCGGGGAAAGAGGUGAGCCUGCCGAAGGGGCCGACUAGCGUCCUUCCCGCAGCAGCCAAGCCCUCCUCUGGCUCAGCAAAAUACACCCAUUGCCCUAAGUGGGGACGAAUGCCCAGGGCUGGUUCAUUUGACAGAUUGUGCCGGAAGCCGAGAUCUGGAGGCCAGCUAGUCCGAUCCCUUCCCCCUUGUACAAGAAGGUCACUUUGCCCCCUUGGGCCUCGGUUUCCCCACCUACAAAAUGCUUAGAGAGCUAGUUGGAGUCUGUAAAAGGCUUUGCAAACCUUCAAGUGGCAAUGUGAACGAUUCAUUUGGGUUACGUGGUGUCAUUUCUUGAAUCCAGAGUCCUCCCCCAUGGCCUCCUGGGGACACGGCAGUGGCCUUGUUUUUAGUUUUCUUGCUGUUCUUUCGUUGAUAUCUGUGACAUUGUAUCUGUUCCCAACCGUCUCUUAUAACAAAGAAGUCCCAGAGGAAGAACUGGGUCAGGGACUCCCACUUCUUUAUCUUCACUGGGCACGUACGUACUUGGUCAAGUUUGGGAGUCUGGCCACGUGGCUUCCCUUUCCCCCGCCGGCCACUGCCGGUGGCGCUGCUCCCUUCACUCUGCGUCAGUUGGUCAGAGUCCUCCCAAGCCGCUCACUGCUCAGAGUGCCGUCCUGUGGCGCUCCCUUCCCACGGUGGACUUUGUGGAUAUUUGAUGAGCGCACGCCCCUGGGAGACCACUGCCAGGCUGCCCCUCCCGUAGCCCACCACUCGCUGAUGAGGGCACUGGGCUACAUGACUCCAUGAAACAGGGUUCUGGUUCCAAGAGAUGAGCUCUCUCUGGUCUGUCCAAAACUGAGUA